UAUAUUUAAGUAAUUCAAAAAUGCAAACAGGAUUAAAUUGAAAUCAAAACUAAAUUUAAGGGAGAGAAAACACAAUUAGAAAUGUCCAAGGGUUGUAUCAAAACACGCGCAUAAUGUCAGGGACCAAAAAGGGAAAUAAUCCCGUGCCCCCCAAAACGCAGCGUUUAGAUCAAGACUGAAUUGAAACAAAUUCAAAAUUACCGGGAAAUUUACAACAAAAUAAAAAAUGAAAUUAAAAAAAGGAGUAAAAUGGAGGGAUCAAAGGCGCAAAUAGACCAUACAACAAAAAUGCGCGGAUCCUCCCCGGGUCGGGUCAUCGCGCGGGUCGCAAGCCUCUGAAUGGCACCGUUUUUGAAAACAUUUUAAAGCUAAAAAAAACCCUAAAUCUGGAGGUUUUCUUUCAAACUUGCAGAAGAGAGGAGAGCACCGCCUCCUGCUUCCCCUCUUCUGCCGCUUCACCUUCAAUACCUCUGCCCGUUCGACUCCAUUUUGCACAGAGGGAGGGCUUCAUUGGCGCCGACGACAAGGUAAGAUCCCUCCUUUUCGUUCUUUAUUUUAUAUAUAUACUUAUAUAUAUAUGAAAUUACAAAACACAAUAAAGAAAAGCAAUCGGAAACCGAAUGAAAAAAAAGAAACCUUUUUUUGUAUUGAUUUUGUUUUUGAUACAAUCUCUCUG
rnacentral:lncRNA from 1 species